AAUGAACGUUGGCGGCGUGGAUUAGGCAUGCAAGUCGAGCGCGAUAUGUAGCAAUACAUGGAGAGCGGCGAAAGGGAGAGUAAUACGUAGGUAUCUACCCUCGGGUCUGGGAUAGCAGCGGGAAACUGCUGGUAAUACCAGAUAACGUCUCCGGACCAAAGGUGUGAUUCCACCUGAGGAGGAGCCUACGGCCUAUUAGCUAGUUGGUAGGGUAAUGGCCUACCAAGGCAAAGAUGGGUAUGGGGUGUGAGAGCAUGCCCCCACUCACUGGGACUGAGACACUGCCCAGACACCUACGGGUGGCUGCAGUCGAGAAUCUUCGGCAAUGGGCGAAAGCCUGACCGAGCGACGCCGCGUGCGGGAUGAAGGCCUUCGGGUUGUAAACCGCUGUCGUAGUGGAGGAAAUGUAGGAGAGUUAUCUCUUCUACUUGACUAAUACUAGGAGGAAGGACCGGCUAAUCUCGUGCCAGCAGCCGCCGUAAAAC
rnacentral:rRNA from 1 species